GGGAAAUGGUUUCAGAUAUCGCCAUGGCAAAACAACAAUGACCAUCGGGAUCUUUAGAGUAUCGAUGGCUUGUUAGAAACAAUGGAUUCCAGUGGAAACAGCUUGCUUUACCACAUGAGAAGAAGAUGAGGAGAAGGUUCAGAACUGCGCUCCAAAAACCCCUUCCCAGCUUCUGGAUUCAAACACUAGGGUUGGAGAAGGUGAUCAACCUCAGCUGACUGUGAGCAGCAGAACAAAAGAGAAGCUUGGCAGGUUGCUCCUCACACUUCCUGGGCUCAGAUGAUGAUGACUUGUAUUCACACGACUCAGGUUUCACCCAGGCUUGUUUGAUGGGCUCAGCAUGCCACGCACAGCUCCCCACUGAGGACGCCCCGGGAGGAAGACCCAGGGAGGUCUUUCAUGGAGAGCAGGCAGACUUUUGAUCAGGACAUCACAAGGUGAACUCAGCGAGAUGAUGGUGCGGGAUGGUGCUGGCCAGCAGAGCACGUCAAGCGAGGCGUGCGUGAUUCAUCUCGCAGGAUGUUGCCAGGAGACGGAGCUGCCCGGUGCAGACUGCAGACACGCCGUAGCUCAGAGCGUCAUUAAGCCGGCCAUGUGACCAGCGCUUUGGACGAGAACAAGAAGGACAGCUCUGUGAGCGGGUGACAACUGCCCAUCCCAGGGAAGUGUGGGGCGACAGGGCGACACCAAGAGGGGAAGAGAGGAACUCUCUCUGGAGAAGGAACCGAAGUGAAGCAGUGUGUUCAGAGGAGCAGUGGAGAGUCAGAUCAAAAGUGACGUGUCAGCACACUCAGUGGAAGAAAACAACCUCCCUGGUCAUCACUGUGAAGCCAGGUGGAGGAAACACCUGCUUUUUUUUAAACAAAAAUAUCAGUGGUGGGGCUUUAACUAGUUAAUUACAACAUAAUUAUGAUUCAUUAAUGACAACCAAAAAAUGAAUUUAAUGGAACAGUGUGCUCUCCAGACAACAGGGAACAUUUGCUAGUGCAGGAGUUCCUGCUCCACUGAUCCCACUGAUGCACCAGACACGUGGCAGCUGGGAUGAGAACAACAACAACAAACAUGGAGGAGUCAUUCCUGAACCAAAGCAAACAAAAGCAUCUGUUUGCUUUGGUUCAGGGAGGUUUUUCACGACACAAUGUCCAGGGUUUCCACCACUCUGAAUGGACUUGGCAUUCUUAUAACAUUGAAAUUCUUAUUCAAACAUUUUCAAGACAUUAAAAGAGCGUUAGUUGAAAUAAGAUGAUAUCAAAACUUGAAUAUAGCCACUGAUGCAAAAUAAACAAUAUUUUGUUGUUUAAAUGUAUGUAUGGCUCCAUCAUUUGAUUCACUAAUAUACCACAUUCAUUCACAUUGACAAAUGUAGCUUCUUGUGGCAAAUAUUCUGAUACCAUUAAACUGCGGUUAAUUGAGAUUAAUUCAUCACAAAUUCUCUCAUUAAGUAGAUUUUUUUUUUAA